CCUACGGGUGGCAGCAGUGGGGAAUAUUGGACAAUGGGCGAAAGCCUGAUCCAGCCAUGCCGCGUGUGUGAAGAAGGCCUUCGGGUUGUAAAGCACUUUCAGUGGGGAAGAAAGCCUUGGGGCUAAUACCCUCGAGGAAGGACAUCACCCACAGAAGAAGCACCGGCUAACUCCGUGCCAGCAGCCGCGGUAAUACGGAGGGUGCGAGCGUUAAUCGGAAUUACUGGGCGUAAAGCGCGCGUAGGCGGUCUGAUAAGCCGGUUGUGAAAGCCCCGGGCUCAACCUGGGAACGGCAUCCGGAACUGUCAGGCUAGAGUGCAGGAGAGGAAGGUAGAAUUCCCGGUGUAGCGGUGAAAUGCGUAGAGAUCGGGAGGAAUACCAGUGGCGAAGGCGGCCUUCUGGACUGACACUGACGCUGAGGUGCGAAAGCGUGGGUAGCAAACAGGAUUAGAUCCCGGGUAGUC
rnacentral:rRNA from 1 species